CCUCGUUCCUUAAAGGGUCGAGCUUGUAGACGUUCUGCAGCUGAUUUCUUAGCCGCAUAGCUAUCGCCAUCGGACCUUGUUCCGCCAUCUUUGGGAAUUCUGCAUACUUCCGGGUAACGGGAGAGUGGACAUCUGAUGGGGUCACCGCACAUCUGAGUGACAGCACCUGACUCCACAUACAAAUCACGCCUUCGGGGCGGACAGAACACAACCACAAGCUCUGGCGAUAGCUGAGCGCAUCAAAGAGAAGAGAAAGAAAUGCUGAACCCUUUGGCGCACAGUGGCAUUUAUUUCUUCGCCUUAUCUCAGACGGUUUAUGGACAGUAAGACCUUCUCUUGUUGCCUUUUGUCUAGACGCAUAUCAAAUCCUUCCAGCUUCUCUCCCUAGUAUCUAAAAUAAAAUAACAAUUUGAUUGUUUCACCUGUCAGCCAAAGGCUAUCAAAGUGAAGAAGAUAAGGUAAAAUAAUGUCCAAUAAGUGGAGUCAUUUCCAUUGGAUAGAGUUCAGUGCAGAGGGAGAUACGAGAGGGAUGUUGCAGAAGGUUUAAUGAAAACAUGUCACUAAAAUCACUGGGUGAUACAAUCUGUUUCUUGUUGAGAUUCAUUCAUGUGAGGGAGAAGAACAAGAACAUGUUUUACUAAAGCAAUUACAAUUGCCGACCGCCUUUACCCUGAAUUGAAGCCAUAUCUUGAUAAGUGGAAACAAUCCGUCUUAUUGAUUCAUUAAAAAGCUGCUUUAUUUUCUUCACCACUAAGAUGUGUAAAAACUCAUGCAGCAUGACUGAAGAUAUGUAACCAGUGGAGCUUUCUCAAAACAACUUGGUUCUGUAUUUCUAUUUUCAUUUGAUUAGAAUUAGAACAAAUGGUCUUAGCCCACAAUUGCAAAUUAAUUGUCUAUUUCGAAAAGAUUCCACAACACUUUUCUGAGAUGCUAUUUUCUCCUGAAUUAAGGGAUUUAGUAUUUCUCCUGUA